AUACGGAGGAUCCGAGCGUUAUCCGGAUUUAUUGGGUUUAAAGGGUGCGCAGGCGGGGGAUUAAGUCGGCGGUGAAAUUUUUCAGCUCAACUGUAAAAGAGCCUUCGAAACUGGUUUCCUUGUGUGUAGAUGAAGACGGCGGAAUUUGUGGGGUGGCGGUGAAAUGCAUAGAUAUCACGAGGAACUCCGAUUGCGCAGGCAGCUUACUAAACUACUACUGACGCUCAGGCACGAAGGCGUGGGGAUCAAACAGGAUUAGAUACCCUGGUAGUCCACGCAGUAAACGAUGAUUACUAGCUGUUUGCGAUACAAUGUAAGCGGCUGAGCGAAAGCGUUAAGUAAUCCACCUGGGGAGUACGUUCGCAAGAAUGAAACUCAAAUGAAUUGACGGGG
rnacentral:rRNA from 1 species